rnacentral:misc_RNA from 1 species
AGAAGUGCGAGACCAAGUCAAUAUGGUUGCCAGGAGUACACAGAAGAUAACAAGUAUCGAUGUGGACCAGUAACACAAUGCUUGCUCACUCUUCAGUACAGCUCAUUCUCAACACCAUGGUAUACCACCACAACAUUAAACAGCAACAGCAGCAAGCAAGUGACUGGCAUAGACAGUGGGAAGAUUUACAAUACUGGAUGUGUGGGAAAUGGAAACAGGAUCAUAUUAUUUCAGUUUGCUCAACUAUGUACUGAUCUCCAAGAGAGAAAACAGAAAUGGAGUAGAAGUGGAAUUGGAGAUAAACUUACAACUAAUCGUAUGAGGAGGCCUCCUCCCUGGCACUGGGAGAUACUCCUUAACCAACAUCGCCAAGAAAACCCAAGAAGAAACAGGAACAAGUGGGAGAAGAGAGAGGAGAGACAAGAAUGGGAUAGAGCAUGUCAUUGGCAGCAGCGAAAGCGGUUUCUGUUUACGCAUUCAGUUUUUCAGUCAUUGGGAUGGGGUUCAGCUGUUGUACUAACUUGGUCCAUAUAUAAUGACUGGGGCAACCACCCAUACAGUUAUCACUGGAACACAAGGAGACAAUGCAAAGAAAUUUUUCUUAGUCAAAGUGAGGAAGAAAUUAAUUCCAAGCCUAAAACCAAUGACAGUGAACAGCAUCAGCACAAUAAGGAAGGUGAAGACCAAUAUUGCUACAGUGUUAGCCAGUCUGGUUGCCUUGGUGACCACAACUGCCAGUGUCCCCAGCACACAUUAUACAAAGAAAAUUUUUGCAGCCAACAAAGCCAGAAUUUUUUCUGUCCUGAGACUAACAGGUCUCUCUUCAGUUUUCUGUGGAGCUCUUCUGAACAUAAAUUCUUAAUAGAACAACCAACAGAUACACUGUCAGAUGUUCUUGAUAUUCCAGAAAUUCAAGAAUUCCAAGAUAAAGACAGAAUAGAACUACCUGUAGUUCAAAGUAAAUUCUCUGUGGAAGUACAACCAAAAGAUUCACUGUCAGAUGUUCUUGAUACUCGAGACAUUCACUCAAAUAUUCAAGAAUUCCAAGGUCAUAAGAGACUAGAAUUGCAACAGGACUAUGAAAAUGAAACAGAGCUGUCCAUAGAGGGAGAAGCCCAGGUGUGUGAGCAAGAUGAGGACUCUGGACGGCCUGUAAAAGGAGAUUUGAAAUGUAGUCUAAAUUCUGAGCUGUGUAAUAGUUUGCCGGCAUCAGGUUUGGAACAAGAUGCCAUAAAUACGAGUGAUGGUCUAGGCUUACUCCAAGGAGAAACUUUAUUUGAGGAGAAUGGGAUUGUUGAGUGCAUGAAAGUCUCAAGAGAAAUUAAAGGAUCAGAAGAAUGUGUGCCAUGUGGCUCAGGCAUUUUAACAAAGCCUCAAGCUGUAAGGAGUGAGGAGGUGAAAAUUAAGGACUGUACCUCUGAUGACAGUGGCCAAAGUACAUCAACAUCUUCAAACUCUUCAUCACACCAGCUUGACAAGAUGACUAUUGAAGAAUUCAGUGACAGCUUAACAAAGAUCCUGAUGGCUGGGAGUCAAGAUAUAAAGAAAUUUCAAGAUCAGCUCAUGGGAGUACUAAAGGAUGAUGUUAACCUCAGUCUUGUUGACACAGAUCCAGACUCUGCAGUCCUCUAUUUUCAAGCAGGAGCACUGCUUGGCGACCCCUCAUCUGCUUUCAACCUUGCUCUCUGUUAUCAUCUAGGCCGUGGUGUCACUCAGGACUUCAAGAUGGCCCGUGAACUAUAUGAAUCUGCUAGCCUAGCUGGACAUGGAUGGGCUACCUACAAUCUGGCUGUAUUGAUGAAUCAGGGCCAAGGAGGAGCUCGUGAUUCUGACCGUACAUACAACCUCCUCUUGCAAGCUGGUAAAAGAGGUGUCUCUGAAGCUCAGGAAGUCCUCAAGCAGUUGGAGGAACAAGAGGAGAAUGAGCUCUUGGAAGAAAUUUGUGUUCAGGUGUUCGUCUUUGUUACUGUGUACCCUUUUUCAAGAUGAGUGGAAAAGACCAUCAAGCUAAGUGAAAGCAGUGGUGAUAAAAGAUUCUAUUAGGGAACUACAUUUGACUAUAAACAUGAUGUUUUAAAGAGGUAACUCCCAGUAACUCUGAUCACAACACCUCACCACUUCCUGCAACACUCGACAUUGUUUCUGGUUCACUCAAGUCUUCUCAGUCAGAACCAUCCCUCACAUCUGUCUCAUCCAGAAAGUGGUCAUCGUCAUAUUCUACGAGUGAUCUAGAAUUUAUGGAUGAAACUGAUUUAUGGGAUUCUACGGAUUUCUCAAC